AAGACUAUACUUUCAGGGAUCAUUUCUAUAGUUCUUGACUUGAGAAAUGUGUUUCUAAAAUGUUUGGUCUCGCUAACCACGAUGAAGAGAUUGUGAUACUCUUCCCUGAGCGCGAAGCGGGCUCACAGUCAUGAUUCACUUCAUAUGCUGUCUGCCUUUGAUGACCGUUCGGAGCUCCUCUGGGGGCUUUGAGGGGGGGAGUAUGUGCGGAGUGGU